rnacentral:tRNA from 1 species
AGGGGUUAAUUAAACAAUAAUACUUCCUUGUCAAGGCAAAAUUGCAAGUUAAAUCCUUGUACCCCUCUA